rnacentral:rRNA from 1 species
AGUGAACGCUGGCGGUAGGCCUAACACAUGCAAGUCGAACGGCAGCACAGUAAGAGCUUGCUCUUACGGGUGGCGAGUGGCGGACGGGUGAGGAAUACAUCGGAAUCUACUUUUUCGUGGGGGAUAACGUAGGGAAACUUACGCUAAUACCGCAUAUGACCUACGGGUGAAAGCAGGGGAUCUUCGGACCUUGCGCGAUUGAAUGAGCCGAUGUCGGAUUAGCUAGUUGGCGGGGUAAAGGCCCACCAAGGCGACGAUCCGUAGCUGGUCUGAGAGGAUGAUCAGCCACACUGGAACUGAGACACGGUCCAGACCCCUACGGGAGGCAGCAGUGGGGAAUAUUGGACAAUGGGCGCAAGCCUGAUCCAGCCAUACCGCGUGGGUGAAGAAGGCCUUCGGGUUGUAAAGCCCUUUUGUUGGGAAAGAAAAGCAGCAGGUUAAUACCCCGCUGUUCUGACGGUACCCAAAGAAUAAGCACCGGCUAACUUCGUG